UAAGGAAUAUUGGUCAAUGGACGCAAGUCUGAACCAGCCAUGCCGCGUGAAGGAUGAAGGUCCUCUGGAUUGUAAACUUCUUUUAUCUGGGACGAAAACGGGAUUUUUAUCUCAAUUGACGGUACCAGAGGAAUAAGCACCGGCUAACUCCGUGCAAGCAGCCGCGGUAAUACGGAGGGUGCGAGCGUUAUCCGGAUUUACUGGGUUUAAAGGGUGCGUAGGUGGGCUUAUAAGUCAGUGGUGAAAUCUCCGAGCUUAACUUGGAAACUGCCGUUGAUACUAUAGGUCUUGAAUUAUCUGGAGGUAAGCGGAAUAUGUCAUGUAGCGGUGAAAUGCUUAGAUAUGACAUAGAACACCAAUUGCGAAGGCAGCUUACUACAUAUAAAUUGACGCUGAGGCACGAAAGCGUGGGGAUCAAACA
rnacentral:rRNA from 1 species